AUUACUAAAACAAAAGUAUCUGAUACUGUACAAAGUUCAAAAGAAGAUAAUUUCUUUUGACUCAAAAAGAUUCGACGCGCCCAUUCGACCCUCCACGCGUCUCCAACAUCAGUUACCUGAAAAUGUUAAAUAAGGGAUAAGCAUACAAAGUAUACUUAGUGUGGGAUGUCAUGCAAUAAUUGUCCACGUUAAUAAAACGGUAACACAUACGGUCACUUCAUAUAUAUCCUCAAUAUUCGCACUGUGGCAACCCAAGGACUAUUAAAGUCCCGGACCCUAUUUACGGGCCCCUAGCGACAUCCUCAAAAUAAAUAUCAAAUCGCAUUGUGGCAAUCCAAGGACGGUGAAGUCAUGGACCCUAUUUACGGGCCCCUAGCGAUAUCCUCAAAAUAUACGUCAUAACACAUAUGGUAAACACAUAUUAUUAAAAUGGACAAGAAUUAACCACAGCAUGUACUGAAAUAAAUCCCACACCUUAACUUGACUUGCAAAUUUAACUUCAGUAAUUCAAAAUCACAGUCCACGUUCUAGUCGCGCCGCACCUAGUCAGAUAACAUUCAAAUAACCAAAAUAAG
rnacentral:lncRNA from 1 species